GCGGUCGCCGCCAUGAGUAUGCUCAGGCUUCAGAAGAGGCUUGCCUCUAGUGUCCUCCGCUGUGGCAAAAAGAAGGUCUGGUUGGACCCCAAUGAGACCAAUGAAAUCGCCAAUGCCAACUCCCGUCAGCAGAUUCGGAAGUUGAUCAAAGAUGGGAUGACCAUCCGGAAGCCUGUGACUGUCCAUUCCCGAGCUCGGUGCCGGAAAAACACCUUGGCCCGUAGGAAGGGCAGGCAUAUGGGCAUAGGUAAGCGAAAAGGUACUGCCAAUGCUCGAAUGCCUGAGAAGGUAACCUGGAUGAGAAGGAUGAGAAUUCUUCGCCGACUGCUCAGAAGAUACCGUGAAUCUAAAAAGAUUGACCGCCACAUGUAUCACAGCCUGUACCUGAAAGUGAAGGGUAACGUGUUCAAAAACAAGCGGAUUCUCAUGGAACACAUCCACAAGCUAAAGGCAGACAAGGCUCGCAAGAAGCUCCUUGCUGACCAGGCUGAGGCCCGUAGGUCUAAGACCAAGGAAGCACGCAAGCACCGUGAAGAGCAACUCCAGGCCAAGAAGGAGGAAAUCAUCAAAACUCUGUCCAAGGAAGAAGAGACGAAGAAAUAAAGCUCCACCUCUCUUACCUGUACAUAGUGGCCU